GACGAACGCUGGCGGCGUGCUUAACACAUGCAAGUCGAACGGAAAGGCCCUGCUUUUGUGGGGUGCUCGAGUGGCGAAAGGGUGAGUAACACGUGAGUAACCUUCCCUUUACUUUGGGAUAACUUCAGGAAACUGGGGCUAAUACCGGAUAGGAGCUCCUGCUGCAUGGUGUGGGUUGGAAAGUUUCGGCGGUUGGGGAUGGACUCGCGGCUUAUCAGCUUGUUGGUGGGGUAGUGGCUUACCAAGGCUUUGACGGGUAGCCGGCCUGAGAGGGUGACCGGCCACAUUGGGACUGAGAUACGGCCCAGACUCGUACGGGAGGCAGCAGUGGGGAAUAUUGCACAAUGGGCGGAAGCCUGAUGCAGCAACGCCGCGUGCGGGAUGACGGCCUUCGGGUUGUAAACCGCUUUCGCCUGUGACGAAGCGUGAGUGACGGUAAUGGGUAAAGAAGCAACGGCUAACUACGUG
rnacentral:rRNA from 1 species